GACGAACGCUGGCGGCGUGCUUAACACAUGCAAGUCGAACGGAGCGAAUGAAAGCUUGCUUUUAUGAGCUUAGUGGCAAACGGGUGAGUAACACGUAGACAACCUGCCGACAGGAUGGGGACAACAUUCCGAAUGGAAUGCUAAUACCGAAUGAAGUCGAGGGAAGGCAUCUUCCUUCGAUGAAAGAUGGCCUCUGUUUAUAAGCUAUCACCUGUCGAUGGGUUUGCGUCUGAUUAGCUGGUUGGUGAGGUAACGGCUCACCAAGGCGACGAUCAGUAGCCGGUCUGAGAGGAUGAACGGCCACAUUGGGACUGAGACACGGCCCAGACUCCUACGGGAGGCAGCAGUGGGGAAUCUCCGCAAUGGGCGCAAGCCUGACGGAGCAACGCCGCGUGAGUGAAGAAGGUCUUCGGAUCGUAAAGCUCUGUUGAUGGGGACGAACGUACGGAGUGCGAAUAGUGC
rnacentral:rRNA from 1 species